GAUGAAGAACGUAGCGAAAUGCGAUAAGUAGUGUGAAUUGCAGAAUUCAGUGAAUCAUCGAAUCUUUGUACGCACAUUGCGCCCCUUGGUAUUCCAUGGGGCAUGCCUGUUCGAGCGUCAUUUGUACCUUCAAGCUUUGCUUGGUGUUGGGUGUUUGUCCUGAGGGACUCGCCUUAAAGUAAUUGGCAGCCAGUGUUUGGUUUUGAAGCGCAGCACAAGUCGCGAUUCAAAGCUAUACGCCCGCUUCCACAAGCCUUUUUCACUUUUGACCUCGGAUCAGGUAGGGAUACCCGCUGAACUUAAGCAUAUCAAUAAGCGGAGGA
rnacentral:misc_RNA from 1 species